CGUAGGAUGCAAGCGUUGUCCGGAAUUACUGGGCGUAAAGCGCGUGUAGGUGGUGGGACAAGUCUGCUGUGAAAGCGCCUGGCUUAACCGGGCGAGGUCGGCGGAAACUGUUCGACUCGAGGACGGUAGAGGGGGGUGGAAUUCCCGGUGUAGUGGUGAAAUGCGUAGAGAUCGGGAGGAACACCUGUGGCGAAGGCGGCCCCCUGGGCCGGCCCUGACACUGAGACGCGAAGGCGUGGGGAGCGAACGGG
rnacentral:rRNA from 1 species